rnacentral:lncRNA from 13 species
AGAUCAUUGCCUUCUUGGCCUCCAUGAUCAAAAUAUCUCUGGCUUAAAAUUAAGAAGAGAGAUCUGGGAGAAAAAGCAACGUAUGAA